ACCACGACUAUAACGUCUCUGUCCUUUCAACUCAUUUGGAUGAUCAGAAUUUCAAAUUGAUAAUCAGUAUUGUUGAAUUAAUCUGAACUAGUAGAAAAUAUUUAGAAACCAAAAUUUGUAAUUUUAAAAAAUGAUUAUCAAAUUCAUCGAAAAGUCGAAAAUGAACGGUCAAAAACAAAUGAUCUUCUAAAAACAGAGAUUGGAUUUUCUAAAUUUACGAUCGGAGUUAUUAAACAUUAUGUAAAUAGUAUAAAAAAUUUUCUAUCAAAAAUUCAAUCGGUUUGAAUUACUCUACACCAUUAAACAAGUAAAUGACUCAUAUAGACCGUAAAAACCUGUCAAUUUUGUAAUCUUUUGAUCACUAUGUAAAUAAAUUUUAAAAUUUAUAAAAUUUAGUUCCUAGAUAAUUCAAAUACUCCAAAUCAACUUCAAUUGUUCAGAUUAUCAAUUUCGGAUCUCUAUUAUCAAAAACGAUUUGAUAGGAUGAAGAUCUUUAUCCUCCUAAAAGAAUACCAUACAUCUAUUCAUCUAAUGACCGAAAAUUUAUGAGUACAAAGAGAUCUAUACUUAUUAGAAUAUAGUAGCUCUAAUCUAUAAAUAUAUAUAUAG
rnacentral:lncRNA from 1 species